AGCCCCUUGAAUAUUGAUGAUCUUGAGGUAGAGAACUUGGAGGAAGAGCAGUUAAAUCGAUUUUCUUUUACUGGCUACAUCACAGACGUAUUUAGAAGGAUUUCAGAAAACAACACAGCAGCAGCUGUUGGCCCCUUGAAUAUUGAUGAUCUUGAGGUAGAGAACUUGGAGGAAGAGCAGUCAUAUAGAUGUUCUUUUACUGGCUACAUCACAGACGUAUUUAGAAGGAUUUCAGAAAACAACACAGUAACUGAUCUUCUACGAGAAGUUAGGAGGAAUGGGUUCUGGACUACCAUCUAUAGAAAGAUAAGCACAUGGUGGACUUCUAAUUUUAAUAGGAGGCCGGAAUCACCAGUUGUUUUCCAGCAAAUCCCAUUACCCCCCCCAUUAGAACCUGAAAAUCAACCAGACCCCGACCAAGAGUAUCCUGUCCAAGACAUCACAUACCUGACAAGUCUCUAUUAGUUACUUAGUCUGCUUAUGUUUGAUAUAGACUGAAAGAAUACACUUCAAGAUUGCUGAAUUCAGCUUUAAUUUUUAAAGACACAAGUGUAUAGACACAUGAAACAUUAGGUUUAGUGAUUUGUAGGUUCUUUUAUAAAUAGACACUAACAAUUAACUACAGUAAACUUUACUUUCUUUUUCACAUGUAACAUUUCCUCUCAUUUAAAAACUUAGUAAAAUUCCCUUUUAAAAAUUGUACACUUCAGUAAUUUUUCCAUAU